UAACCCCGGAGNGUAAAGUUGGGGGAAAAAAAUUCCAUUCUUAUGGGCCNUUAAGCCCCAGGGGGAAACAAAACGGGUAACCAUGGGGUGGGUACCAAGGGUUCGCAAAACCCGCGGAGGGGGGAGCCAAUCCCAGAAAGCCAUCCUCAGUUCGGGAUUGGAAGUCUGCAAACUCGAACUCCAUGAAGUUGGAAUCGCUAGUAAUCGCGGAUCAGCACGCCGCGGUGAAUACGUUCCCGGGCCUUGUACACACCGCCCGUGAAUCACUAGUGAAUUC
rnacentral:rRNA from 1 species